GAAACUUGGCUAGACCACAUUAGAGGACCAUGUUGACCAAAGAUAUCUUAAUUCAUACUCACCAGUAUUCCUUAUAUGCUGAUAUCCUGAAUAUAUAUUCAAUUUACUCCAUUUUCCAACUACUUAAUUAACAAACAACAGUAGCCAUCAUAUUUUCAUCAACUUAUUUUAAUUAUUGAAUAUUAGAAUGUUUAAAAGAGGAAAAGAAAUAUGAUAUGCCUCUAAAAUACCAGUUAUAAAAAACCCUGCAAAAGGGUUGUGU
rnacentral:lncRNA from 1 species